UACGUAGGGUGCAAGCGUUAAUCGGAAUUACUGGGCGUAAAGCGUGCGCAGGCGGUUGUGUAAGACAGAUGUGAAAUCCCCCGGGCUCAACCUGGGAACUGCAUUUGUGACUGCACAGCUGGAGUGCGGCAGAGGGGGAUGGAAUUCCGCGUGUAGCAGUGAAAUGCGUAGAUAUGCGGAGGAACACCGAUGGCGAAGGCAAUCCCCUGGGCCUGCACUGACGCUCAUGCACGAAAGCGUGGGGAGCAAACAGG
rnacentral:rRNA from 1 species